ACAACCGAGGUGCAAAGGCUGUCGCUGACCCUCAAAGGUUGUGCACGCCCGAGCGCUCUCACACAAUCCAUCUCACCUUUGUGCAUCGCCGCGUGGGUCCCCUUUGCGGGAGGGCUCGCGUUUUCACAUAAUAACUCGAUACAGUGUAGAAUGUUUCUUUUGCGGUCACACGCAAUCAAUACAACUUUCAACAACGGAUCUCUUGGCUCUCGCAUCGAUGAAGAACGCAGCGAAACGCGAUACGUAAUGUGAAUUGCAGAAUUCAGUGAAUCAUCGAAUCUUUGAACGCACCUUGCGCCCCUUGGCAUUCCGAGGGGCACACCCGUUUGAGUGUCGUGAAUUCUUCAAAACCCUCUUUUCUUCGAACCAUCGUGGUCGGGAAAAGGAUUUUUGGACUUGGAGGUUUAAUGCUCGCCCUUUCUUUUGAAAGCGAGCUCCUCUCAAAUGAAUUAGUGGGGUCCGCUUUGCUGAUCCUUGACGUGAUAAAAUGUUUCUACGUUUUGGGUUUAGCACUGUCGCUUGGAUGCCUGCUCCUAACCCGUCUCAUUGACAAUGAUGGUGCUCUGGUCACUGCCGUCUACAUCGGCGGGAGGCUGGACCCACAAAAAGAAAACCUUGA
rnacentral:rRNA from 1 species